rnacentral:rRNA from 1 species
GACGAACGCUGGCGGCGUACCUAAUACAUGCAAGUCGAGCGGACUUUCAAGAAGCUUGCUUUUUGAAAGUUAGCGGCGGACGGGUGAGUAACACGUAGGCAACCUGCCCGUAAGACGGGGAUAACUCCGGGAAACCGGGGCUAAUACCGGAUAAUAUCUUUCUUCGCAUGAAGGAAGGUUGAAAGGCGGCGCAAGCUGCCGCUUGCAGAUGGGCCCGCGGCGCAUUAGCUAGUUGGUGAGGUAACGGCUCACCAAGGCGACGAUGCGUAGCCGACCUGAGAGGGUGAUCGGCCACACUGGGACUGAGACACGGCCCAGACUCCUACGGGAGGCAGCAGUAGGGAAUCUUCCGCAAUGGACGAAAGUCUGACGGAGCAACGCCGCGUGAGCGAAGAAGGUCUUCGGAUCGUAAAGCUCUGUUGUCAGGGAAGAACAAGUACCGUUCGAAUAGGGCGGUACCUUGACGGUACCUGACCAGAAAGCCACGGCUAACUACGUGCCAGCAGCCGCGGUAA